rnacentral:lncRNA from 1 species
GUGCUCCCAGUGAGUGAAGAGCAGAGCAUUUGACCAGCUGAGCCAUGUUCCCAGCCCACACUGGUUAACAGGAAGGCAGCACUUAACACCGUGGUGUGAAAGGAUCCUGUGAAAGGAUCCGAGAGACUCACCACCCACGCAUUGGCCUCAGUCCUCUCCACUGUCCUGUCUCAGCCUCCCAAGUGCUGGGAUCACAGACAGCUGCCACUGCUCUCAGCCCUAACCUGACUAUGCCC